rnacentral:rRNA from 1 species
GACGAACGCUGGCGGCGUGCUUAACACAUGCAAGUCGAACGGAAAGGCCCUGCUUUUGUUGGGUGCUCGAGUGGCGAGCGGGUGAAAAACACGUGAGUCACCUGCCCUUGACUUUGGGAUAACUUCUGGAAACUGGGGCUACUACCGGAUAUUCCCUCCUGCUCCAUGGUGGGGUGUGGGAAGUUGCGGCGGUUGGGGAUGGGCUCGCGGCUUAUCAUAUUGUUGGUGGGGUAGUGGCUUACGAAGGCUGUGACGGGUAGCCGGCCUGCGAGGGUGACCGGCGACACGGCGCCUGAGAGUAGGCCCAGCCUCCUUGGGGAGGAAGGAGUGGGGAAUAGUACACAAAGGGCGGAAGGCCGAGGGAGCAAUGCCGCGUGCGGGAUGAUGGCCUUCGGGUUGUAAAGCGGUUGCGCCCUGGACGAAGCGGGAGUGACGGUAAUGGUUAAAGAAGCACCGGCUAACUACGUG